GUCAGAAGUCCCAUUUGGUAUGUGAAAAACUUCUGGAUGGGUUGGGCUAAAAGAAGUGCUGCAGAUUGCCGGCCUUCUUGAUGAUUUUAAGUUUAUGUUACUCACAGUAGGCACUAGAGACUGACUCCUUAAUCUUACACCAGAAGCAACUCAGUGAGGAGGUUGCAGGUAGUGCUAUCUCACACUGUCCUCCAGGGGAAUCAGGUGGGCAAGUCAUUCAUCUCAUAGAGUGAGCCGUUUCGCCUGAGGUCCCUGGACGACAAUAAGUGAGUGGAGAAUGGAAGAGGAGGACAAGCUCGCCCCUGAUGAUACUGGCAUGCCAUUACAGAAGUGCCAGGGAUCAUCAUACCAGAAAAGUUAUCCUACAGAAGUCAAAGAUUCUUAUGUUUCCAGCCCAGAUGGAAUAAGAAAUGCUCAAUUGUUCCAAAAAGGAGCCUAUUCUCAGCCUGAUAACUGUUUGGUCUUCAAGUCAUUUCUGAUUUAAGACUCUCCUAAGGCAACCCUGUCACAGAGUUUUCUGGGGAAAUGCAUCUGGCCAACCCUCCUGUUUCCUGAGGAAGCUCCUGGGAUAAAGGUACUGUCUGGAUGGGCCCUAAGACUGUUGUCUUCAUUUCCCGCUGCCUUCUACCUUGCCAAAUAUGAUUGUCUUGUCUAGUGAUUAUUAUGUCUUCUCAUGAUAUGUUCAAAGUACAACAGUCUUAGUUUAGAUCUCAUGUUAUCUAGGCAGAGUUCAAUUUGAUUUACCCUAGGACAACCUUAAAGGCCUUUUCACACAGUGAUAUAUCUCACCUCUGACACCCUUUUGCAUAUUGGUUCCUAUGGGUCCUAUAGCAUGAUGCAUGUUUUUCCCCCUGUAGGUAACCCCUGUAGGCACCCAUAGGCAAAGGAUUUGCAACCAGUGCCUUUUGAAAGACAAAUUUCCAACUGCAUUCACUCAUCCUUUAUUUCUCUGCAUACAUCAGAACUGUGACUUUUGACAUGUGAUUGUAAUCACAUAUGCAGCUCAUCUACAGCUUAUCACCUGUGCCAGGUAUGUGCCUUUUGGGACAUACUCUGUAAUGUAUAUUUAAAUUCUGCUCAAAACAUUUUGUGUUUGCUUAAGAAGUCAAACAUGUAUGAUAAUUUCUAAACUGAUUAAAUUCCCAAGGUCAUUCAGAUCAAUAUAAUAGUUUUGUGCAUUACUAUUUGUGGUUUUCUUUAACAUUACAUUUCUGUGUUCACAGUAUAAUAUAAACUGUGGGGAAAUUUUACAUUGAAAAGAAGGUGUGCUUAAGUCUCAUUGAAAUUACUGGAAUGAAACAAUGGAGUUAAGGAGCAAGGCAAUCUUAUUUUAAGAAAAACUCACAGUGCCACAAACCCUCUUUAAAAAUGAAAAGGAACAUCAAAAUGAAGCAUUGUUCUCUUUUUUGUUCCCCAUCUAACAAAACCAAGGCAUUUUAUUGCCUUGCAAUCCACCUGGCUGUGCUGUUGGCCAAGAAGCCUCAACCCCUCUGCUUCCCCAGUAACCAAGAGAAAGUGACUAAUCCAUUUGCAGUCUCCUGUGACAGCUAAUAUAGCCUACACCACACUCCUUUUUUAGCAGUGAAAGAAAGAAACUAAUGCGGAUAUCUAAGCAGAGCUUGGAAAGUUUUUUUCAAAGUCACUUUGUGGCCUAAAUCCUGGUUCCUUUUUUAAUUUAGCUCACUCUGGAAGAGCCCUUAAAAUGAGAUAACAUAUCACUCCUGUUGAGUUUAACGUGAUUCCUGUUGAUUUUAGCUACAACUUUUUCAUGUAGCUGCUAGCUCCUUUUUCCCUUGUGCUGCUGGAUGAAAAACAACCAUCUUGCUUUGAAAUGUUUAAAAGUAAAAAAGAAUAGAAAAUAUUAUUACUCUUGCAAUAACAGUGAUAAAUUGUUUUUUAUAACAUUGGUACUAUAGAUAUUUUGAGUGAAUUCCUAUACACUACCCACAUGCUAUGCUGAUGAAGAUAUGAGUAUUAUUAUUAUGAGGAAAAUGUGUCUUUACAAUGCAAAUUAGCAUUAUGUAACAGGAAUGGAGGAGCCC